GAGGGAGGGUGCAAGCGGUGUUCGGAAUUACUGGGCGUAAAGCGCGUGUAGGCGGCUUGCUAAGUCUGAUGUGAAAGCCCGGGGCUCACCCCCGGAAGUGCAUUGGAAACUGGCGAGCUCGAGUCCCGGAGAGGAGGGUGGAAUUCCUGGUGUAGCGGUGAAAUGCGUAGAUAUCAGGAGGAACCCCGGUGGCGAAGGCGGCCCUCUGGACGGUGACUGACGCUGAGACGCGAAAGCGUGGGGAGCAAACAGG
rnacentral:rRNA from 1 species